AGUUGUCUCAGGUUCAGUUGCAGUCUGGUAAUAUUGAAGUUGCUCUUGACUAUCUAUCUGAAGCUGUGCAAUUGUUUGCUCAAGUCUUUGGGCCACUACAUGUCAACAUAGCAAACUGUUAUAAAGUUAUUGCACGAAUUCAUCAUGCUCUAGGAGACAGUAAACUAGUAAGUGGUGCAUGUAACUACAUUUUAGUUUAAAUGA